rnacentral:lncRNA from 1 species
CAGCGUAUGACACUGCUGUCAUCAUGUCUCCUGGAUUCCUUUUUUUUUUCCCUAUAACAGCUCUAUCAAGCUAUAAUUCACAUGCCUUAAAAUUCACCUUUUUUGAAAUGUACAACUGAGUGAUUUGUAAUAUAUUCACAGAGUUGUGCAAUCUUAACAACUACUUAAUUCCAGAACAUUUACAUCACUUCAAAGAAACCCCAUACCCUAUAGCAGUCACUCCCAAUUCUCUUCUUCCACCCAUUCCCUGGAAACCACUAAUCUACUUUCCGUCUCUUUGGAUUUAACUACUCAGGACAUUUUAUAUGAUGAAUCCAUUUGGAGAGGAAGCCUCAGGACUUCCAAGGACACGAACUUGUCAGGAUGCUCCCAGAACUGAUCAACAAAAAAGGAAAGAUCAAAAGAAAGAGAGAGAGAAAGAAAAGGAAGGAUGGAAGGAAGGAAGGAAGGAAGGAAAGAAGGAAGGAAGGAAGCAAACUGCGGAGAAACUCACAAUCCAGACAAGACGUCCGCUCAAUUUUGGAUUGUAUCAUUCCAGAAUUUUCCACAACAUACUUAAUUAGCCUCUAAUUUUUUUAAUAAAACAUUUCUAACAUUGUGCUAUUUUAAACCAUAAACAUUCUUAUAUCUUGAAG